GAACCACUGAUUGAUCACCUGAAGCAAGGACUGAGUCAGCCCUGAGAGCAAAUGAGAAGACACCUGUGUGACUGGAAGGGGUAGUACCUGGCUGCACCUCUCUUAGACCCCAUUUAAGGGCUGACUGCCACUGGAGGAAGGUUCUCUUUCUGGAGGUCUUUUCCCUUGGUGUUUUCUACUGUGAGCCUAGGGAAUAGUGUGUUUUUUAGGGACCAUGAUUCCAAUCAGAGACCAUGAAUAUCUGUUGACAGAAAAUAGGACCAGCUGGUGCCUCUGCCUGAGGAGGCCACAACAACCUUGCUACCAAUUAUGUGAACAAAUCUGGGCAAUUUUGCCCCAGAAGCCAAGCCCAAAGUGGAGGUUCCCAGGCCAUUUGAGUGGUUGAAGGGAAGCAUUUUGAUUUAAAGUGAUUUCUUCAACAUGAAAUGUUUAAGGAUGGCUUCAGGAAACAGAAAAAGACUGUUUUAGAACUAAAUUAAAAGAUGAAAAGCUGAAAGGAAUGCUCUGAAAAAGAAGACACAAAGCCAUUUAUGCUGUCAAAAAUGGAAAUAUUUUUGAAUGGAUGAAUUUCUCUGAUGGAAUUAUUUUCCUUCCACUAAAGGAAGUUCUCAAGAAAUUUUCUGCUAGCUUUUGUUUUUAGCUGUCUUGUUGCUGUACUAGCUGUGGUUAGAAUGCAUUCUUUCCCCAUUAAAGAAAAAAAACCCACAAAAUACCAAGUUAAUUUUCUGUUAUUUUUAGUCUGUAACUAAGCAAGUAUAUCAAUUUUUAUUUUUAAUUAAUUUAUUUUUUUAUUAAUAGUAAGCAUUUUUGCAAGAUAAUGCUAACAGCAGCCAUGGCUUUUAGGUUAACAAUGGAGGUUGCAUUUUGUAACUCACAUUUCAGUUAAAUUUUUCAGGUUCAAUAUCUGAACCC